GAUGAAGAACGUAGCGAAAUGCGAUACUUGGUGUGAAUUGCAGAAUCCCGUGAACCAUCGAGUCUUUGAACGCAAGUUGCGCCCGAAGCCAUUAGGCCGAGGGCACGCCUGCCUGGGCGUCACACGUCGUUGCCCCCCCAUCUACUCCUUCGGGAUUGCGGGGGGCGGAUGAUGGCCUCCCGUGCGCCUCGUCGCGCGGUUGGCAUAAAUGCCAAGUCCUCGGCGACACACGCCACGACAAUCGGUGGUUGCGAAACCUCGGUUGCCCGUCGUGUGCGGUCGUCGCGCAUCGAGGGCUCGAAAAAAUUGCCGGGCUCCGGCUCGGCUUUCAACGCGACCCCAGGUCAGGCGGGGUUACCCGCUGAAUUUAAGCAUAUCAAUAAGCCGAGGA
rnacentral:misc_RNA from 1 species